UUUACAUGGCCGUAGAGUUCCCAGUUGUACGCAUAUACUGGUAACGCUUCAUGCCAUGUUAGAUCAAACAAUAAGGCCCGAUUUACUACCAAUUUAGCGAUUGAUUCCUGGGUUUUGCAAUGUGAAUGUUCGUUCCGAUUGUGGAACUUAAAUCUGGACUGCUGAUAGUUGCAUACACAC
rfam:Drosophila virilis strain TSC#15010-1051.87 Ctg01_14987, whole genome shotgun sequence.